rnacentral:rRNA from 1 species
ACGCUCGACACCUACGGAGGCAGCAGUGGGGAAUAUUGGGCAAUGGGCGCAAGCCUGACCCAGCAACGCCGCGUGAAGGAAGAAGGCCCUCGGGUUGUAAACUUCUUUUGACAGGGACGAAACAAAUGACGGUACCGUGUCGAAUAAGCCACGGCUAACUACGUGCCGCACACGCCGGUACGUAUNGNGGCGGNGNGAGAG